rnacentral:lncRNA from 1 species
GCGGUUCUUCUAUUGGGUUUCUAGUGCCUAACAUCUUUUCUUUGGUUGCUAGUUAAGUUAGGGUUGAGCUAUCUUAUGUGGCCACCUGGUUCUUGUGAGCAUCUAUAUAACUAGUGCUCCUUCCAUGGGUUUUUGGUGGUCAUGAUCCAUUUCAGGCUUUUAUUUUCCUUGCUCAUUCCAUUUGCCCGGGGGUUCACAUGGUAUUUCUCACUAUUUCAUGUGAACUAGAGUUGCCCAUUCUGAUAGUUGGGGAGGAGAUUGGGUGAAUACUUCAUGUCGAGAAUACUUUCGGGUCUCGACAUUUGAUUUGACAAUCUUCGUGGUGGUCACAAUUCCUUGUUCAUUGUGUCUCCUAAUAUUUAGGAUGAGUUUGGGCAAGUCUAUCCUUAAGGGUUGAAGCUGAAUGGUUCCUUUUCAUCGAGGAGGUUGUAUGUGUUGAUGAUUUAGCUCUAGAGUGAUUACUCCUUAUCUAGAGUUGAGCAUGGGAACCUAUUGAGCUUCUUCUUUUUGUAAUAGGUUUUAAGAUUUUCUUUAUCCUAGUGUCUUUUUUAUGGCUUAUUUACUAUUAGAGUGGUUAUUAUUUAAUUUUUCCCUAUUUAAUUUUUUUUUAUUAUUUUCCUAUGUGGGUUUUCUGGUAUAUGUGUAUUUACCUAAUGAUUUUAUAUGCCUAAUGUAUAUGUAUCUAUUUAAUAUUCUUAUCUGCUUACUCAUGAUUUUACCUGAAGUUUCUUACACCUAGGCAUUUCUAUGUUUCUUGUAGGGCAUCCUUAGGUUAUAUCACUCCUGAUUGAUGCCUAUAGUUUAUCUACCAUGGUGUCUUAAAAGAUUUCCUCUUGCUUGCCCAGGUUGAUCAUGUUAAUCCUAGUUUGACUUCCCC